rnacentral:rRNA from 1 species
AUUGAACGCUGGCGGCAUGCUUUACACAUGCAAGUCGAACGGUAACAGGGAGCUUGCUCCGCUGACGAGUGGCGAACGGGUGAGUAAUGCGUCGGAACGUGCCGAGUAGUGGGGGAUAACGCAUCGAAAGUUGUGCUAAUACCGCAUACGAACUGAGGUUGAAAGUGGGGGACCUUCGGGCCUCACGCUAUUCGAGCGGCCGACGUCUGAUUAGCUAGUUGGUGAGGUAAAGGCUCACCAAGGCGACGAUCAGUAGCGGGUCUGAGAGGAUGAUCCGCCACACUGGGACUGAGACACGGCCCAGACUCCUACGGGAGGCAGCAGUGGGGAAUUUUGGACAAUGGGCGCAAGCCUGAUCCAGCCAUGCCGCGUGUCUGAAGAAGGCCUUCGGGUUGUAAAGGACUUUUGUCCGGGAGCAAAUGCUGGUGGCUAACAUCCACCGGAGCUGAGAGUACCGGAAGAAUAAGCACCGGCUAACUACGUGCCAGCCGCCGCCUGUAACAC